CCUACGGGUGGCUGCAGUGGGGAAUAUUGCACAAUGGGCGCAAGCCUGGUGCAGCCAUGCCGCGUGUGUGAAGAAGGCCUUCGGGUUGUAAAGCACUUUCAGCGGGGAGGAAGGCGUUAAGGUUAAUAACCUUGGCGAUUGACGUUACCCGCAGAAGAAGCACCGGCUAACUCCGUGCCAGCAGCCGCGGUAAUACGGAGGGUGCAAGCGUUAAUCGGAAUUACUGGGCGUAAAGCGCACGCAGGCGGUCUGUCAAGUCGGAUGUGAAAUCCCCGGGCUCAACCUGGGAACUGCAUUCGAAACUGGCAGGCUAGAGUCUUGUAGAGGGGGGUAGAAUUCCAGGUGUAGCGGUGAAAUGCGUAGAGAUCUGGAGGAAUACCGGUGGCGAAGGCGGCCCCCUGGACAAAGACUGACGCUCAGGUGCGAAAGCGUGGGGAGCAAACAGGAUUAGAUACCCCAGUAGUC
rnacentral:rRNA from 1 species